ACUCCGUCGUCACUUCCGGGCCGGAGACAAAAUGGCGCCCGGAGGGGGCCGGCGGGGCCUGUCGCUCUGAGCCGGGCGGGCGCCGAGGCGCGCAGGGUUGAUGUAAACACCGGAGUUUCUUUGUUGUAUACAACUUUUCAGAAAACAUCUGGAUUUCAGAAUGUAUCAGAACUCACUCGAGCCUGCAGUAUCAGUUGAGACGUUGGCGGACGUACCUGCGCACGUGCUUAAAGGGCUUCCUGAGGAAGUCAGGCUCCUUCCAUCAGCUGUUGACAAGACACGGCUUGGUGUCUGGGCAACAAAGCCAAUUUUCAGAGGCAGAAAGUUUGGACCGUUUGUCGGUGACAAGAAGAAAAGAUCUCAAGUGAAGAGCAAUGUGUACAUGUGGGAGGUCUACUACCCCAACUUGGGCUGGAUGUGUGUUGACGCCACUGACCCCGAGAAAGGGAACUGGCUGCGCUAUGUAAACUGGGCUCGUUCAGGAAAAGAGCAGAAUCUCUUCCCCUUGGAGAUCAACAGAACCAUUUACUACAAAACCUUAAAGCCAAUUGAGCCUGGCGAAGAGCUUCUGGUGUGGUACAAUGGAGAAGACAACCCAGAGAUAGCCGCUGCAAUUGAGGAAGAGCGAGCCAGCAAUCGGAGCAAGAGGAACUCUCCGAAAGCCAAGAAAGGGAAGAAAAGAUCCCAGGAGGCUAAAAACAAAGGGAAAAAACCAAUAGACAAAAAACAGAAGACCGUUUUGGAUUUAACUGUUGUGGAAAUGCGGGAACCUAAGGAAGACCCUAAGCAGGAAGAGGAGACACCCUCGGUUUCAGCGGUGCUUUCGCUGGAACAGACAGCGGUGAUCCAGGAGAUGGUCAAUCAGGACACCCUUCCCAGCCUGGUCAUCUCCAGCCCCCUCCCGGAACCAGGUGCCACGCCAGAAGACAAAGCAGAGCUAAUGACGGGCAUCCCAAAAGUUGUAGAGGAGCAAGAGGAGGAACCAGAGGGGGAUAUGGGGGAGGAGGAGGAUGAGGACGAGGACGAGGAGGACACUAGCUCACCUAAAGAGAGUCCUGAUGCGGAACCCCUGUCCAUAUGUGAAGACAAGCUCGAAUCCACAGAGGAGCAAAGCAGCGUCUCCGAAGACUCUCCGGAAAGCUCUCCCAAGAAGAAGCCUCUGGUGAAGUUCUCCAUCCAGAGAAGCGAAUCCAACGGCAGCAUCCAGGGGCCGUUCACGUUUCCCUGCCAGCAUUGUGAGAGGAAGUUCAGUACGAAGCAGGGGCUCGAGCGCCAUAUGCACAUCCACAUCUCAGCCAUCAGCCACGCGUUCAAGUGCCGCUACUGCGGCAAAGCCUUUGGCACGCAGAUCAACCGGAGAAGGCACGAGCGGCGCCACGAGGCCGGGCCAAAGCGGAAGCCGUUCCUGGCUCCGGCCUCAGCCCAAGCAGCCGAUGGUGGAGGCAGGAACCCCGCGAUGACUGAGGAUGGCGUCCGGGAGGAGACGGCAGCCAGGCCCGAGCUCACUGCUCUGGAGACGGAGAACGCUUUGGUAGAGACGCCACAUCCCGUCCUUCUGGAAGAGUCCAAGGAGCCCAAAGAAAUGCACCCAUGCAAAUAUUGCCGGAAGGUUUUCGGCACGCACACCAACAUGCGCAGGCAUCAGCGGAGGGUCCAUGAGCGCCACCUCAUCCCCAAGGGCGUUAGGAGGAAACCCGGGGAGCCUCAGCUUCCCGCAGAGCAAACCCAGCAGGCCCCGAGCGUGUACGUAGCGAGCACAGACCUCGAGGAGGAGGAGGAGGGCGAGGCGGAUGACGUGUACCUCAUGGAUGUCUCCAGUAACAUUUCGGAAAACCUCAAUUACUACAUCGACGGCAAGAUCCAGUCCAACAGCAGCACGAGCAACUGCGACGUGAUUGAGGUAGAAGCCAGCUCCACCGAACUCUACGGAAUUAACUGUUUACUUAGCCCCGUGACGGUAGAGAUAUCCCCAAACUUAAAGGCCACACCGGUGCAUAGAUGUGAUGUGGUGAAAGACUCCCCAGUCGGCGGGGGCAGCGAACCCAAAAAGAGGAGGACGGCAAGCCCUCCCCUCCUGCCCAAGAUAAAAACCGAAAUGGAUGCAGAACCUAUAACCUCCUUGUGCUCCUUGACUAUUCCUCUCACGAUAUCGACAGCCGAGAACUUGCCUUUCCCCAAAGAGAAAAGUAUUUAUUUAUCAUCCAAACUGAAGCAGCUUCUCCAGACGCAGGAUGAGAAUAAGAUCGCCCCAUCGUCCCCGUCGUCGUCCGGUGACAUCCCCAAGCUGGGACUUGCCGCUGCCUCGUCACCUCUUCUGUCGGCUGCCUCCAGCAGGUUCAAAAGGAGAACCAGCUCCCCUCCCAGCUCCCCGCAGCACAGCCCGGCCCUUCGAGACUUUGGCAAAGCGGGCGAAGGAAAAUGCGUCUGGAACGAUGCAGUCCUGGGCUCAAAGCUCUCCAAGCUGGAGAGUCACAGAAGCUCACCUGCCUGGAGCUUACCUGGGCGAGAAGAAAAGGAGGCCCCCAGCCCCCUCUGCUCAGAAGAGCACAAAGCGUCGAAGGACUGGCUGCCUGGCCCUCCUUUUGGUAACGUGUGCAACCAGCAGCCUCUGGACUUAUCCAGCAGCGUAAAGCAGCGGUCGAACUGCAAGAGCCGGGCCCAGGUUCCCUGGGAGUCCGUUCUGGACCUCAGCAUCCAUAAAAAGCCCUGCCGAGACCCUAAGGCCAAGGAGAGUCACGUGGCUCCGCCGGAGAGCAGCUGCGUGAAGAAGAAGCCCACCACCUCCAUGCUGCAGAAGGUCCUGCUGAACGAGUACAAUGGGACGGCUGCGGCCUCAGAGAGCCCGGCCCCCGAGACCAGCCCGGGCCUCAGCGUGGGCAAGGCGGCCGGAGCCCACCUGGAGCCUGAUCCCGAGGCACGUCUCCCCCUCCCCGUGGUCAAGCCCGGCUCCCCAAGCCCCUCUCCUGAGGCACCUGUGCCGCCGGCACCCACGGUACCUUCGUGUCGGGUACCGCCUCUGCUGACGCGGUCGAACUCGCCUUCCCCCCCACCCGGCCCGCCCACGCUGAAGGCCCCUACCCCACCCCCUCCGCUCCUUCCCACCGCCCCGUCGCCUCUCCCGGAGGAGCCCCUCGGUGUCACCCUGAGCUCAUGUCCCUCCCCGUUAUCGAACGCCACGGCUCAGUCCCCUCUCCCGGUCCUUUCUCCUACGGUCUCGGCUUCUCCGGUCCCUUCUGGCAAGCCCCUUAGCUGCGUUUCGCCCGGACCUCCCAACCUGUCACCGUCCUCCUCCUCUUCCUCCCCGUCCUCUUCUUUUUCUUCCUCCUCCUCCUCCUCCUCCUCUUCCUCCUCCUCUCCUUCACCACCUCCUCUCUCUGUCGCUUCUCUAGUGCUUUCCCCUGGCGAUAACCUAGAAAAUUCAGUCCCUCUCAUAUCCUUUAAACAAGAAGAGGAGGUAGAAGACGAGCACCAGAAGCCAAGCGAAGACCCCCAUGUCUCCAGCGAGGCAGAUAUCAUCCAGGAAACGUUUAGCAAGAACUUUGUGUGCAAUGUUUGUGACGCACCUUUUCUUUCCAUUAAGGAUCUCACCAAGCAUUCAUCCAUUCACGCUGAGGAGUGGCCCUUUAAAUGUGAAUUCUGCGUCCAGUUAUUUAGGGAGAAAACAGACUUGUCAGAACAUCGCUUCUUGCUGCAUGGCGUCGGGAACAUCUUCGUCUGCUCCGUGUGUAAGAAGGAAUUUGCUUUCCUGUGCAAUCUGCAGCAGCACCAGCGGGACCUGCACCCCGACAAAGAGUGCACCCACCAGGAGUUUGAGAGCGGGACGCUGCGGCCACAGAACUUCACAGACCCCAGUAAGGCGAGUGCUGAGCACAUGCAGAGCCUGCCUGAAGACUUUGCUGAACCGUCGAAAGAGGAGGAAGAAGAUGAGGAGCUGAAUGACUCUUCAGAAGAACUUUAUACCACCAUCAAAAUCAUGGCGGCCGGAAUCAAGUCAAAGGACCCCGAUGUCCGCAUGGGCCUCAACCAGCACUACCCGAGUUUCAAGCCCCCUCCGUUCCAGUAUCACCACCGUAACCCGAAUGGCAUUGGCGUGACUGCCACAAACUUCACAACACACAAUAUCCCACAGACCUUCACCACGGCCAUCCGCUGCACCAAGUGCGGGAAGAGUGUAGACAACAUGCCGGAACUGCACAAACACAUCUUGGCUUGCGCAUCUGCCAGCGACAAGAAACGGUACACGCCCAAGAAGAACCCCGUGCCACUCAAGCAGACGGUCCGCCCGAAAAACGGCGUUGUCCUUCCCCUCUGCCAGCCCAAGAGGCUCAGCUUCAGCGUCGAGGUGAAUCGGAUGUCCCCGAACAAGCUCAGAAUCAGUGCUCUGAAGAAAAAGAACCAACUGGUCCAGAAGGCCAUUCUGCAGAAGAAGAAGUCCCAGCAGAAGGCAGAGUUGAGGAACAGCUCCAUGGAGUCCAGCUCCCAUAUCUGCCCCUACUGCAACCGGGAGUUCACAUACAUUGCGAGCUUGAACAAGCAUGCUUCCUACAGCUGUCCCAAAAAGCCCAUUUCCCCUUCCUCCAGGAAGAAAAAGAAGAGCGGGGCAUCGUCUUCCGGCAGCGACAGAAACAGCAACCUGCGCCGACGGACAGCCGAUGCCGAGAUCAAAAUGCAGAGCACGCAGGCUCAUCUGGGGAAGACCCGGGCUCGCAGCUCCGGGCCCGUGCCGAUUCAGCUCCCGUCAGCAUCUUUCAAAUUGAAACCAAACGUCAAAUUUGUACCACCCAUUCGAUCCAAGAAGGCAAGCGCCCCAUCGACAGCCAGGAAUGCCAGCCCUGUAAGGAUGGCGAAAAUGAUCGCAUCAGACAGCAAAAGAGCUAAAGGGGCGACCAAGAACGGUUCCUCCGGACUCUCGAGCAAAGCGUCCCGCAAGUUGCAUGUGAGGAUACAAAGGAGCAAAGUGGCCUUAGCCAGCAAGUCGGCAGCAACAAGCAAAAAAAGGGCCGACAGGUUCAGCGUGAAAUCCCGAGAAAGGGUUGGGGGGCCCAUCACCCGGAGCUUGCAGCUGGCCACCAGCGUGGACGCUGUGGAGAACAAGCGCGACGAGAGCAGCGCGAAGCAGGAGCCGAAAGAUUUCAGGUGCGCUUCUCACUGUCCCACACCCAACUCCUCGCUUAGGGCUUACUCACAAGUGCAACGCUUAAGCUUGCCCUGGUGACACAGCCAUUCGAGGCUCUAAAGAGACGUUUGGCUCGUGUAAAAAUCCAAGACAUGGCUGAGCUGUAUGCAGAUGCCGCUGUGAGUCAGUGGUCGCCGUUCACCUGGACCGACCACCCAUUCCAUGUGCCAACCUCAGGUCCAAAAUGACUCGGUAUUUGAGUUUUAAAAACGAUACCCCAUUUCCAUCAUUGAAGCUCUUAUUCAGGGUGACAUCUUAAAAAGAUGAAUAUAUGGAAUUAGCGUUACAAACGAAAUCCAUAAAUCCAGUAGCCUUAAACCAACACUAGAGUUUUUCAGGUAAGAAAUCUAAAACCGUAGCCCAUUAAGCAUGAUGGUUGAUUAGGAAAAGAUCUUUAAGCCUCUCCUCCUGUGGCCUGCAUCUCUUUAAAGAGGGCAUCGGCUGAGUAGUCUUGGGAAAUGCCAUCCAGAAGCGCAAAGAGGCUCCAGGAUCCUCAGCUGCCACCUGCCUGAUUUCUGGGAGGCGUUGCGCAUCACAGGUGGACAGGUUGAUGUGGUGACUGGCAGCCACGGCAAGCUGGAAGCUUGACAGAUUUGCUCAGCGAUUGUGCCGCAGCGCUUCAGUUGGAACCCACAACCACAUAUUUGCUGCAUGAAGCAUAGCCCCUGUUUCGUUCUCUUUCCUUUCCUGUCCUCCUGACCAAUGGCACCGUCCCCUGUGCCACUCGACUCGCAGGAGCCUAGUCCUCGCUGUUGGUGCGAGUGGGGUAAAGAUUGCUUCAAUAAAUGCGAAGUAGUGCAUUUUCUCCCCUUUCACACUCCAGUUACUUCUGCUUCAGUGCAAACCACUGUUCACUGUAGCACCCAAACCAUCCAUUAAUUAUGUUAAUAGCUAAUCUAAUUACACACACAUAUAUAGGCAAUUAAUAUAUCUAAGUAUGAAAAGUGACCUAAAGCAAAAGAAUGAAGAAAGCAAACAAACAGGUGACGACAUGGAAGGUUUGGGCUGGGGGGAGCCAUGGAGGCGGGACAAAUGGCAAAAGAUUAAACCUCAUCACAGACUCACACUCAGCUUAUGGAUUUAGGGUUGCCACCGUGUUGGAGCCUGGUUUAGAAUCACAGAGUAGUAGCAUUGGAAGGGGCCAGGAAGAUCAUCAGGUCCAACCCCUGCUGGUGCAGGACACCAGCUCACACCAUCCUCUGAUCCCACCCAGAUUCCUAUGAAAGGCAGUGAAAGCCGCCCUCCCCAACUCGAUGCCCCCAGAAACUCUGGGCUGGAACUCCCGACAUUCCUGGCCAUUGGCCGUGCUGGCUGUGGCUGACGGGAGUCAAACUCCAGAACACCCCGGGCACCCCCUUGCCAUGGCGCUCUUCCUCAUGGUGCAGAACCUUGCCAGAUCAGAGUCUCUGUGCCGUCGGAGGACCCGCUGCUAGGGAGCCACUGCAGUGAAGGACAGUCGCCGCGGCAGCCUGCUGUGGGGUCCCUGGAGAUGCCUGGCUGGCCUUUGUGGGAAGAAGGGGCAGCAGCCGGUGGGCCGUCGGUCUGUUCAAGCAGAGCUGCCCCAACAUGCCUUCAGGGUGUGAGAAACUGGCGGUGGCAGUCCAGCAGGGAUGAGUGGCCUGCAUAUCUGGGAUUGGUCCGAGGUGGAUGCUGGAAUAUUUGUCUGGUGCUCCCCUGUGCUGAAGUUUAAAUCGCCCUAGGUGAAGCCCAGACACAGCCUGACCCGUGACUCAUCCAGAGACACCCCAGGUGGCCUCUUUGGGCUCAGAAGGGCCAGAGUUUGUUUGUUUGUUUGUUUGUUUGUUUGUUUAAACAUUUCUAUGCCGCCCCAUUCGCUGAAGCCUCGGGGCGGCUCACAACAUAUUGAGUUGCAAUUGUGGCCCUCCGUGUGGGAGUUCCUGGGGCAGGCAGACUCCCAGCGGCCAGUAAAAGCGACGCCACUCUUCACUGGCCAGGUGUGGCACUUAAGGCUGAAACAGAGCGCAAGCCACAGGGUUGCAUCUCUCUUGCACUCUCCUUCCCUAGCAGAAAAUCCUUCCAGCCUCGGGCAGCCAUUCUCUUCCCAACCAGUGUCUUUGUGGCAUCCGUGGAUCAACUCAAAGGACAGGAGGGUCACACGGAUGCCAGAAGACGGGCAGCAAAGGAAGCUGUUUCCAGCAGGGACUAAUGUGUUCUCUACCUUUGAACCGACCAGCUCUGCAUACAACUGCCAGCCACUUGUCAAAUGGGAGUAAGCCACAUUGAACUGGGAACCUGCUGUAACACAACGGCAAGCAGAAGACCUCCGGACUGUAAAUGAAAUUUCCGAACUGACCGGCUUGAGCUGUGUCCCCCUCAGCUUGGACAGGAUGAGCACGGAGGGCCGAUCGCCCAGGCCUGAGAACCGGCCCGAGCCAGCUUCUCCCGUCCAGGGAGGGUGCAGAGCACCAGAGCUGGAUUUGGAACGCGCCAGCCAGGCGGGAGGAAUCCGUGGCUGCAGAGAGAGAAGGGGGGCACGCAGAUGCUCCUCUCCUGCAGUCUUUUGUUUUUAGGAACAUGGAGCAAACGCCACUGGAGCAAACCCCGGCCACGGAGUUCGCAGCUUGUGCUUCUACUUGCUUCUGUCCGAUGGGAAAGCAGCCCGUGGACAGAGAGGCUGCUGCCACAAUGAAUGCCAGGCAGGCCCUCUUCAGACGCUCCCAGUAUAUUCAGGGAUGACAAAACGUUAACUGCACUCAACGUAUUUUUGGUCGCAAAUCAAGUCUCUACAAGCCUUUGUUUUAUACCAGCAUGACGAGACUAGCGAGAGAGGAGGAUGCCUUCUCUCUCAGAGCCCCCCACUCCCUGGCACUCACUGGCCAGACUUUUUUCGUUUUGUUUCCGUUUUAAGGAGCGGUGGAAGCGGGCGCAGGAGUUGCUUGCUUCCCCCCGUCUUCUGGUUUCUGCAUGGGGUGGUGGGUGGGAGAGGCAGAGGGAGGAAGCCGGGUUGGUCCCACUACCCUUGACGGCACCCAGGUCGGAAGUCUGUCGAUGAGGAUGUUGCCCACAAGUUACCGUGAAUCGAACCGUUCACCCUCUAAAGUUGUAUAGCACAAAUGAACACAUAGGUGAAAUUACUGUUAAUUGGCUGGUGUAUCCAAUAACAAGAGCCACCUUUUUCCCUAGCUGUAUAACAACAUUAUUAUUUUCCCUCCUGAAAAAAUGCAGUUCUGUUUGGUUUUGUUCCCAUACACCAGGAGGGAAUGAGCCUUCGGAUGGCAAAGAGCAGUUAGUUUCAUUUGAGCACCCCAUUUUUAAAAUCAUAUUCGUUCUUGACUUAAAAAAGUAAUCUACCUCUUAAAAUUUGUAGUUUUAAUAUUGUUUUGGUGACUUUGUGCCACUUUAACCACCUUCUCUUUCACUAUCAUUCCCUUUUUUGUUACAUUUUUUCUGGUUUGUGGGGACUUCUAUGUCGAACUAUUGUAUAAAGCAUUUGUAGCAAGUUUGAAAUAAAAUAAAAUAUUUAAAAUUA